UACCGGCGGACGGGUGAGUAACACGUGGGUAACCUGCCUCAUAGAGGGGAAUAGCCUUUCGAAAGGAAGAUUAAUACCGCAUAAGAUUGUAGUACCGCAUGGUACAGCAAUUAAAGGAGUAAUCCGCUAUGAGAUGGACCCGCGUCGCAUUAGCUAGUUGGUGAGGUAACGGCUCACCAAGGCGACGAUGCGUAGCCGACCUGAGAGGGUGAUCGGCCACAUUGGGACUGAGACACGGCCCAGACUCCUACGGGAGGCAGCAGUGGGGAAUAUUGCACAAUGGGGGAAACCCUGAUGCAGCAACGCCGCGUGAGUGAUGACGGUCUUCGGAUUGUAAAGCUCUGUCUUUAGGGACGAUAAUGACGGUACCUAAGGAGGAAGCCACGGCUAACUACGUGCCAGCAGCCGCGGUAAUACGUAGGUGGCAAGCGUUGUCCGGAUUUACUGGGCGUAAAGGGAGCGUAGGUGGAUAUUUAAGUGGGAUGUGAAAUACCCGGGCUUAACCUGGGUGCUGCAUUCCAAACUGGAUAUCUAGAGUGCAGGAGAGGAAAGGAGAAUUCCUAGUGUAGCGGUGAAAUGCGUAGAGAUUAGGAAGAAUACCAGUGGCGAAGGCGCCUUUCUGGACUGUAACUG
rnacentral:rRNA from 1 species